CUCAAUUGCUGAUUACUGACAAAUUAAGGACUACAAUGAGCUCUAAGGACCUCCACGACUGACAAAGCAAAUUUUUCCAGGAUCGGACUUUAAUUAAGCCAGAUAUAGUUAUUUUAAGUUUCAAUAAGCUAUGAUUAUGAUU